AAGCACAUAGUGCAAUACCGAGGUCUCCUGGAACUGAGACCGAUGCUUGCACUAAGAUGCCUGCCCAUCAUACUCCGAAAACGACGCCGUGUCCUCAACUCUGAGUCACCGGAGUCGUAGCUUCUACACGAGUGUUGCGAUGGCCUAAAUCGCAUUGCGACAUAGAUCCUUCAUUGUAGGUGAGCCCCCCCAAGCUGCACCCUCUGUCUAAGCCUUAUGUCGUCCCCAUGCAUAGGAGUAAUAAGCAUCCGUAGUGAGUCCCCGAGCAGCAUGGUGUUUUAUGUCUUGUAUGGGGUUUAGCCACUCGAACAUCGAGUUGCCCCGCUCGCAUCGGUUAUUGAGCACCAAGUUCGACUAGUCUGUUUUGGGCUAUAAAGACCCCGUACUUUCCCGUAGGGGGGGGCUGCGGAGGGAUCAUUACAGGGUCUUCGACUGCCCAAAACACACUUGUGAACCAUUGCUCUAUACUUGACUGCGGCGGGCGACUCGCUGGAGGAGUCGCCAAAAGCCCGCCGGAGUCGACACUGAAGCUGUUGCGCCGAGACAAUAUCUUCUGACUUCUGAGCCCCUGCUUAGGCGGGGCAAACUAAAUCACAACCCAUAACAAUGGAUCUCUUGGCUCCGGCAUCGAUGAAGAACGCAGCGAAAUGCGAUACGUAGUACGAAUUGCAGCUCUAGUGAAUCAUCGAAUCUUUGAACGCAUAUUGCGCCCCGCGGUAUUCCGCGGGGCACGUCCGACCGAGCGCCGCUGCUCCGCUCGGGAGGCUUCGACUCUGAAGCGCUCCCGGUGUUGGGGGAUGCUUUCGGCUCGAAAGCGCCCCCGAAACCCAGCGGCGGCCCCCAGGGCUCCCAGGCGAAGUCACUGCACAGCGUCUAGGGUCGGCCCGCGGGGCCUGUCUCCCUACCACACUCCCAAGAGUUGGCCUCGGGUCGGACGAGGCUACCCGCUGAACUUAAGCAUAUCAAAAAGGGCGAGAGAGAAAUUAUUGGUCCUUGGCGGCCCCCCUCGUGGAAGACGCGGACACAAAGGAGUCUAAAUGCACAGGCGAGUGUUGUACAAAGUCAAAACCAGGUGCAAAAAAAUGAAAGUAACACGGAGGCGGGGAACCCCUCAGGUUGCAUCAUCGGACCAUCCUAACGCGCGAGGGGAGGUAUUAGAGAAACACCCCCACCUAAAUGAGACCCCAAGGAUGGCGCAACUAUGUCGGAAACGGGGAGAAGCCAUAUGACAACUCUCGUAGAAGCUCGCUGCCGUUCUCACGUCCCGUCUGAACGACCUAUUGGGGGAUAGGAGCGAAAGUAAGGUGCUACUCUGCGUCUCUUCAUGAUACAUAUG
rnacentral:rRNA from 1 species